GCGGACGGGUGAGUAACACGUGAAUAACCUACCUAUAAGACUGGGAUAACUUCGGGAAACCGGAGCUAAUACCGGAUAACAUGUUGAACCGCAUGGUUCAACAGUGAAAGACGGUCUUGCUGUCACUUAUAGAUGGAUCCGCGCCGCAUUAGCUAGUUGGUAAGGUAACGGCUUACCAAGGCAACGAUGCGUAGCCGACCUGAGAGGGUGAUCGGCCACACUGGAACUGAGACACGGUCCAG
rnacentral:rRNA from 1 species